CAUGAGUCACCCUUGCAUGGGAAGGAGGGGCCGGUGUUAGGCUGGGCUGUCACGACCUCGACCGUCUUUCCUGGGUCGAGGAGAGAAGGGGGAGCAUGGCAGGAGCAGAGCUUAGGGAGCUGGGGUUGGCUCCACCCGAUAAGGCUGAGAGAUAAAAUUAAUGAUUUCAUUUCCUGAAAUAUAUGUCCUUGGAAAACCGAGGGCAGAGAGCAAUGAACAGACUGGGAAGGGAGAAAAAAACCAAGGGGAUCUUCAGCACCUACUUCCUCAAGAUCGAGGUGCAGGCACCCAGCUCCUUCUCCCUCAGACCUGGGAGUCCCUGCCUUGGGAGCCCGCUCUGGGCGGGGAGCACUUACCAGCAGCACCAGGUUCCCCCAGACCCCGAGGCCCCCGCCAGCCCCAGCCAUGCCUCCAGACACUGCCGGGGACCCAGGAGUCCCAGGCCUAGUCCUUCCACCUGCUGGACUUUACACUCAAGAAUUUCCCCUUUACCAGAUCAUUGGUGAAGCCAGAGGCCAGGGCGGGAAGGGGAGGAGGAGGAAGUGGAACCCAGCUCCCAACCCUGCCCCGCUGGCCCUCACCUUCCUCCCUCACCGCUGCCUCUAGCUCUGACACUGGAGAUGCCUCCCAUCCUUUCUCCAGCCCCCAGCCCACUCCACUUUGUCCCCCGAAAUCUCCCUCUGCACCCCAGGUACCGGGUGCCGCGCCCCACUGCUGCACGGAUGCGGGACGUGGGGCAGAGGAUGAGAGCAGGGGGUGCUGAGAGAAAGGCCAGCUGACUCCCUCGCCUCCCUGGUGGGUGAUCACACAUCAAGAGCAGCCUGGGGCUUAGACCUCAUGCCCCUCGUCCCUGGAGCACGCUCUUCCAUUCAGCCUCUGACGCCUUUCCCCUCUCCGUCUCCCACAAGCCCCUGCAGCUCUCACAAAAUGAGCCCAGCGGGCUCCUGCCUCUUGGCCUUUGCCUAGACUGUCUCCCCCACCAGAUGCACCUGCCUACUUUCCCCCUAACAGUCUCCUACCCACUGCUCCAUUAGGAUUCAGCUUGGAAAUGACCCAUGCCGGGCCUGGGGCCUUUCUAGCCUGGUCAGGACCCUGUGCACUGUCUUCCACACCCCAGACUCUCUAAUUUGCAUAUCCAUCUGUGACCCUGAGCAAAUGACUUAAAUCCACAGUGACUCAGAUUCCUCAUCUCUAAAGAAUGGGCACCCUUGUAAAUAUGCUAAGAGAAAUAGAUGAGUUACUACGUGGAAAGUCUUGGAACAAUGCCUGGCCCAUUUUAAACAGUUGAUAAAUAUUAGUCAUGUUUAUUUUUAGUUCAUCCCUAGGCCACCUGUGCUCAGAAGGGGCCUGACACCCAGGGCUUUUCAAGGUGUUUUUGUUGACUUACUAUGUGCACACGUGGACUGCCUUCAUCUCACAUAUAGUGCGGAAAUGAAGAAUAGAAACCCCAGCCGGGCAUAUUGGUGUGUGCCCAGCUACUCAGGAGGCUGAAGUGGGAGGAUCACUUGAGCCCAGGAGUUUGAGACCAGCCCGGGCAAUAUACAAAACCCCAUCUUUACAAAGAAAAACAAAAAGAGAGAAAAAAUUACCCAGGCAUGGUAGUGCACGCCUGUAGUCCCAGCUACCGGGAGGCUGAGGUGGGAGGAUCACCUGAGACUGGGAAGUCAAGGCUGCAGUAAGCUGCGAUUGUGCCACUGCACUCCAGCCUGGGUGACAGAGUGAGCCCCUGUCUCAGAAAGCAAAACAAUGGCCAGGCGCGGUGGCUCACACCUGUAAUCCCAGCAAUUUGGGAGGCCGAGGUGGGCAGAUCACCUGAGAUCAGGAGUUCGAGACCAGCCUGGCUAAGAUGGUGAAACCCCAUCUCUACUAAAAUGCAAAAAUUAGCUGGCUGUGGUGGCAGGCACCUGUACUCCCAGCUACUC
rnacentral:lncRNA from 1 species